UUUUUUCUUCUUCUUAUUUGAGUUUUUAUAAGGUUUCUUUUUGCUUUUCUUAGCUCUUCUGUUUUCCUCUCAUUGAUUUACGGGUUGUUUAAAUUCGUUGAGUUAAUUAAUCGCUAUCGUUAUUUUUUAUAGUUACUAAUCGUCAUUUUAAUAACGCGGACUUUCGAGAGAAAUACAAUCACAUCAAAGAAACAUUGGUAAACAGAAAUAUAAGUUUUUGCAAUAAAUUAAAAAUGUAAAAAAUCAUUAUUUGAUUAGAAGUAUUGUUUCAUAAAGGCAUGUGUUAAUAAAAGCUACGACUUUAAUAAACCAGUUAAGCGAAGUGUUCAAAAAAAUGUUCGGUUAUUUGUGAAAAGAGUAAUCGACAAGUAGUGCCUAAAUGGUUGCAAGCGAGUGUGUAUUACGCGAAGUGAGAGCGCAAUGUUUUUUUUUUCUUGCUUAUAAACAUAACUUGUAUGCACUGUGAUUCACUUUUUCUUAGUUUUUUUACGUACAUUUACGCAACUAUUGUCAUUGCAAUGCAUGAAAGAAUUAAUUUUCUCUUUCAGUGAGACCCAGUGCGGACGCGUGAAGCUAGAGGAAGUUUUGAAGUUAAGAAUUGAUUUACGAGCACGAGCCGCAUCUAUAUGGACAACAUUAACUAAAAAGCUCUGAAACAGCGCACAACAUAUACCAGGAGGAUAUAUUUUCACUAAGUUGAAAUAACAAUUUUUCAUUCAACCUUAUUUAUUUGAAAAUGCGAGAAACGGUGAACGGUGAAAUAGAAAUGAAGAUUUCUCUUUAUCAUUUUGAAGCAAGCUAUACUCUAAGCCCGCCUUAUGUGAAUGUUUUUUUUUCAAAGGCACUCCUGUGUUUUUGAACGUAAACUAGUGUUUGUCAUUACAACAGAUAAUGUCAUCCAAAAACUUGUUAUUAUACCUUGUUGCAUCUAAAGCUUGAGAAAAAUGUUUGAUGAGGAGGAAAAAGGAGCCGGAUGGUGGAUUUAAAAAUUCAUUAUUAAAAUAUCAUACUUUUCAGAAUAUUAUAAAUGUAAUCAAAAUGUGUAAAGCCAUUAUAGCGGGUCUCCGUGCAUCAACAAAUACCAAUAUUGCACAUUGUUUAGUACGGUAAAUGACAAUGAAAAAACAAAGCGAUAUAUGGGAAAUGGUUGAAGAAGUAUUCUGGCCCGAACGCUUUCCCCUUGGUCAAAAACGCGUCAGUGCGUCAAACUUAGAUCGAUGCAGCAAGUGAUUCUGAUUCAGAUUCAAAAAUUGCGACCAGUGACUGAACGCAAGAAAAUAAGAGCGGCAGACGGACAGGCAAGCUUAAAUGGCUUCAAAAAGCGAUUCUAAGUCGAUCUGUAUAGUGAAAGAUGGGUCAAGUCGUUCUGGACGCUGCACACAUUCGCCCCAAUUAUAAUAUAUGCUUGUACCACAUUUGAUGUGGGGAAUCAAAUUUUGCGUUUGAAUAAAAAAUUAUCUUUAUUUUUUUGAUAAUUAUUUUACUGCAAUUUCUGACUUUUUCAAAGCUUAGUAUGCCUCAAAUCUAAGUCAUAUUCAUAUAUUUGAUAAAUAAAAGAUUUCUACUUCCCUGCAAACAAAGUAAAUUGAAAGCAUGAAAGCAACAUACAAGUUCUGACGUUCUCAAAACUCAAAACUUUAUCGGUUUUGCAAUAACGAACAUAAAAUUAAAUCGAUUUAGAAUUAACUUACAUCUGAUUAUGUCAAUAAGAUAGUUGGCCAAAAACAGCAAAAAAAAAAAAAAAAAAAACGUGUUAAAGCAAAUGCAUUUUACUCUUUUUGUAUGAAAACAUAAAUGUAUUAUUGAUACUUACCAUUAUGUAUCGUGAAUUUUUAAUUCAUAAAAUAUCAU